rnacentral:lncRNA from 1 species
UAAAUAUGCAAAAGUGAAACAUUUUUUCUAUUUCUGUGGGUUCAUUCCCAGUUGAUACAGCUUUAUCAGUGGUUCAUCAGCCUGUCAAAGGAAAGGAAAACUUACCUGUUUUUGCCUCUACUUCUCAUAUUGCUGGAUUUAACCAAAACUUAAGCAGUAAAUCGUGACACCACCACUCUUCAAGUAAUAUAGGCCAGAAGACAAAGAUGACUGUCUAGAGUAGGAUUUUAUGUGUGAAUUAACUUUGCCUUUGAAAUUUGGCCUGCCCUUAUUAGUUAGCUCCCAGAUGAGAAAGAACAAACCAUUCUCACUACAAACAAAUACUAGAGUAGGGUCAUUUGGAAGAUCAACACAUUGCUUAUGCAAAAACUCCUAGUGCUUCUUAUAGCUUUCCAUGAAUCCAGUAAGAGAGCUUACCGUGACUGUGCUAGAUGUCCUGAAGGAAUGAAAAAGAAAUAGGAAACAACAUCCACAUAAGGAAAGACUCAGUACUGUUCAAGAUUCAAAACUUAGUAAUCUUAACUUGUCUUACCAGUUCAUCCUCAGCUUUCAGGAGGAAGCUUCCUCAAUCUUUAUUCUAAAUCUGAGCUCUUUCCUAGAGUUUGGUCUACUCUGCCCAGCUACCUAUCAGACAUGUCCUUCUGGACUCCCUGUUUAUUCCUGCAGUUCAGUUCUAUAUAUCCAAAACAAAGCUCUUCUUCUUUUCUCAUACAUCUGCUUCUUGUCUAACAUUUGUUCUUUUCCAUUUGGGAGGAGAACCUGACCAUCCUCCCAGGCUCUCUACAGACCUGAAACAUGUCAUUUUGUUAAUUCUUGUUUCUUUCCUGUCUAUCAUAUCUCAUCUCUCACAACUCCCUCUUUUUUAUUACUAGGCCAUUAUCCUAAUUUUCAGCCUUUCUUUGCCUGGAUUGUGGAUUAACUACCUUUAAUCUUUUCCCAUGGGAAAAGAUUAGAAGUAAGUAAUAAUUAUUAUUACCCAAUAAUUAUUCCUACAGGACUAGCUUCAUCAAUUUCUAAAACGUACAGUGUCAGGAUUCUGCUUAAGAAGUCAGUGCCUCUCCAGUGCUACAAGAAGAUGUCCAGACACCCCUAACUUCUUGUUUUUCCACAACUUAAUCCUGUUUUCCCUUCCAACUUAUUUUCCUAGAAUUUCCAUUGUUCAAAUGCC